rnacentral:sRNA from 1 species
GCCGGGCGCCGUGACGCACUCCUGUAAUCCCAGCAGCUUGGGAGGCUGAGGCAGGAGGAUAGCAAGUUCAAAGCCAGCCUCAGCAAAGGUAAGGCGCUAAGCAACUCAGUGAGACCCUGUCUCUA